rnacentral:lncRNA from 1 species
GGCCAACUUGAAUCCAGGACUAUGACCUCCAAAGCCCACCAACUUGAACAUUAUAUAUACUCUAAUGUUAAUAGUUCCCAUUUCUUUUGUUUCUAAUGAUACCAGGUAAAUAGGCACAUGAAGAAUAGUUCUCAGUUGUCUUUACAUCUUCUUACCAUUUUCUCAAUUGCAGUUUUUUUCCUCAAUCAUUACUUAGUUUUAAAAGAUGAAUGAAACUCUUCCUAGAAGAAAACAAAAUAUAAUGGUUCUUCGCUAAUUCUCAGAGGGAAGAAUCUUAAAGAAACAUUCUCUCCGCCCAAUUCCAGAGUGUUGCCAAUAUCUCCUACACAUAAACUGAAAUGAGUAGUUAAUAUUUCAUUGCAGCAUAUCAUAGCUAAACUUUGUUACAUUCAAGAAGUGAAACUAGGAUAUUACCCUGGUGGUCCAGUGGUUUAAGAUUCUGCACUUCGCGGGCAGGGGGCACGGCUUCGAUCCUUGGUUGGGGAACUAAGAUCCUGCAUGUUGCAUGGCAUGGCCAAAAAAAAAGUGAAACUAAUUUAAUUUCUACUUACAGGAAUAUGAAAGUCAGAUAGAAAAGGAUAUGUCCAUUUCAGAUGUGAAUUCUAUUACUGCACAAAGGAUUAAUUCUGCCAAUUUUCUGAAAAAGGUCCUUGGAUAUGCCUACUUAUUUGAUAUCAUCCAUGUCUCGCCUCAGACAUAAAGAAACAAUCAAAUCUUACCAUCUCUUUUGCUGGCACUCAGAAUGAUGUGUUUUAUUGGUGUUUCUUGGGCAGAGGAUAUGUGGGGUCAGAAUGGUCAAAUGAAGUCAUCCUGAAUAUUUAGUAUAUCCUCAAUAUCAAGUGUCAUAUAUUUAAUCUCAUAUAUAAUCUAUAUAUUGUGACUGUUUCAUACCCAGGUACCUAAGGGAUACUGAGUGUCCCUCUCUAUCUACAUUUAACACAGGUGUGCUCUACUUUCGUAUUUUAUGUUUAUCCGUGAAUUUUACCUAUGAGAAACAUUUUGCUUACUAGUUACUAAUCUACAGUUAAAACCUCUUAAAGGUUUUGCCUGUGUUUUGUAAAUAUGAUUUUAUUUAUGAUACACUUGAUAUUCUCAAAACAAAUGCACAUUUCAAGGCUGUUUUGUGAAAUAAGGACAUUUUAAAAUUACUACCAUUUUCUACAAUAAUCGGCUUAUUGGGCUUCCUUGUGGCUCAGC